rnacentral:rRNA from 1 species
CCUACGGGUGGCAGCAGUGAGGAAUAUUGGUCAAUGGCCGGAAGGCUGAACCAGCCAAGCCGCGUGAAGGACGAAGGUGCCAAGCAUUGUAAACUUCUUUUGUCAAGGGACAAAAUCAGGCUCGAGAGCCUGACCGAGGGUACUUGAAGAAAAAGCAUCGGCUAACUCCGUGCCAGCAGCCGCGGUCAUACGGAGGAUGCGAGCGUUAUCCGGAUUUAGUGGGUUUAAAGGGUGCGUAGGCGGGCUGUUAAGUCAGCGGUAAAAGUCCGGGGCUCAACCCCGGCGAGCCGUUGAAACUGGCUGUCUUGAGAUGUCGAGAGGUAUGCGGAAUGCGCAGUGUAGCGGUGAAAUGCUUAGAUAUUGCGCAGAACUCCGAUUGCGAAGGCAGCAUACCGGCGGCGAUCUGACGCUGAGGCACGAAAGCGUGGGUAUCGAACAGGAUUAGAUACCCGUGUAGUC